UACGUAGGGGGCAAGCGUUGUCCGGAUUUAUUGGGCGUAAAGAGCGUGUAGGCGGCCUGAAAGGUCAGCUGUGAAAACUCGAGGCUCAACCUCGAGACGUCGGUUGAAACCAUCUGGCUAGAGUCCGGAAGAGGAGUGUGGAAUUCCUGGUGUAGCGGUGAAAUGCGCAGAUAUCAGGAGGAACACCAAUGGCGAAGGCGGUUCUCUGGGCCUGUACUGACGCUGAGGAGCGAAAGCGUGGGGAGCGAACAGG
rnacentral:rRNA from 1 species